rnacentral:lncRNA from 1 species
AUUAAUAUUAUUCUAUUUAAUGUGGUUUCAUUAAUGUUAUUCGUUGAAUACCAAUUUUUGUGGGUUUCAUCGAUACAGGUUAACCACGAAUAUAAAUAUUCAACGAAUUACAGAUUUUCUAAAUGCUUAAUUUGUAUGCGGAGAUUGGCAAAACCACAAAAUCUAAUAACAAUGAAAAUGCAUUAGUUUUCAUCAAUCCAGAAAAGCUGAUACCCAC